AUUGAACGCUGGCGGCAGGCCUAACACAUGCAAGUCGAGCGGAUGAAGAGAGCUUGCUCUCUGAUUCAGCGGCGGACGGGUGAGUAAUGCCUAGGAAUCUGCCUGGUAGUGGGGGACAACGUUUCGAAAGGAACGCUAAUACCGCAUACGUCCUACGGGAGAAAGCAGGGGACCUUCGGGCCUUGCGCUAUCAGAUGAGCCUAGGUCGGAUUAGCUAGUAGGUGAGGUAAUGGCUCACCUAGGCGACGAUCCGUAACUGGUCUGAGAGGAUGAUCAGUGACACUGGAACUGAGACACGGUCCAGACUCCUACGGGAGGCAGAAGUGGGGAAUAUUGGACAAUGGGCGAAAGCCUGAUCCAGCCAUGCCGCGUGUGUGAAGAAGGUCUUCGGGUUGUAAAGUACUUUAAGUUGGGAGGAAGGGCAGUAAGUUAAUACCUUGCUGUUUUGACGUUACCAACAGAAUAAGCACCGGCUAACUUCGUGCCAGCCGCCGCGGUAACAC
rnacentral:rRNA from 1 species